CCCGGGCGCACGGGUGAGUAACGCGUAUGCAACUACCUAUCAGGAGGGGAUAACCCGGCGAAAGUCGGACUAAUACCGCAUGAAGCAGGGGCCCCGCAUGGGGAUAUUUGCUAAAGAUUCAUCGCUGAUAGAUAGGCAUGCGUUCCAUUAGGCAGUUGGCGGGGUAACGGCCCACCAAACCGACGAUGGAUAGGGGUUCUGAGAGGAAGGUCCCCCACAUUGGACUGAGACACGGCCAA
rnacentral:rRNA from 1 species